CGAAAACAGUAGGGGAAGCCCUAAACAAACCAGUUCUUGGGCAUUUGGCAAUGCAAAAACUAUCAGGAACAAUUCAAGUCGUUUUGGAAUUUUUUGUUGAGAUUCAGUUUGAUGCAAAUGGGAAGAUAUCAGGAGCUGCUAUAAGGGCCUAUCUUGUUGAAAGAUCCCGUGUCUGUCAAAUAUCUGAUCCAGAAAGAAACUACCACUGCUUUUGCAUGCUCUGUUCUGCACCAUCAGAAACCUCAAUGGUGGCCUAAAGCCCUGAAGGAACUUGCAAUGGGUCACUGAUUUUGUAUAGGGUACAAAAGACUCCAUCAGCCAUCCAUUCCAUCCUAUUUAGACUUGCAGCAUGGUGAUACGUGAUAACAUAUUAUAAUGAUGUUUGUUAUUCUAUCUA